rnacentral:lncRNA from 1 species
ACCAAGGCAUUCCACAAGCUGAGUCCUUCUGUUCACGCCCCGAAGUUCCAGUUGCUGUGUUCUCGGGGAGGGGUCUGUUCUCUCACAUAUAAGCGUAUUCUCCAUUCCUUAUCAAGGAAACGUCUCUGUUUGAUAGACUGAGAACACCACGUAAAACCACAGCCAAUCAAAACGCAAAGUUGUGGAGCCCUGUCUCUAUGGAUACAUCUCCCAAAUACCUCUGUGCUUAAGGCUCAGGGAACACUGUGGAAGAGGGGGCGGAAAGACUCCGUGAGACAAAGGACCAGGGACUUUCCUCUCAGAUUACAUCUCUUAGCAACAGAAGAAGCCACACCCAUGAACUCUGCAACAUGGUUGCUCGAGCCUGAGCUAGACAAAGACGACACUGACGAGUGUUCUAAACCCAACGGAGGAAGAGCCCAGGAGACCUCGAUGCUACACAAAGCAACCUAGGAGAGCUGGCAGUGGAGGAGUGGCUCUCCCCAGGGAAGGGCACACUGGAUGUGCCAAAUGGCCCACCUGAAAGCAUACAUAAAGUAACAUUAUAUGGACUC